ACUCAAAUGAAUUGACGGGGACCCGCACAAGCGGUGGAGCAUGUGGUUUAAUUCGACGAUACGCGAAGAACCUUACCAAGGCUUGACAUCCCGCGAAUCGGCUGGAAACAGCUGAGUGCCUUCGGGAACGCGGUGACAGGUGUUGCAUGGCCGUCGUCAGCUCGUGUCGUGAGAUGUUGGGUUAAGUCCCGCAACGAGCGCAACCCUUGUCGUCUGUUGCAUUUUCAGGCGAGACUGCCCGGGACAACCGGGAGGAAGGUGGGGAUGAUGUCAGGUCAGCAUGGCCCUUACGCCUUGGGCUACACACGUGCUACAAUGGCCGGUACAACGGGUUUGCUAAGUCGUGAGACGGAGCUAAUCCCAUCAAAACUGGUCUCAGUUCGGAUUGGAGGCUGCAACUCGCCUCCAUGAAGUUGGAAUCGCUAGUAACCGUGGGUCAGCAUACCGCGGUGAAUACGUUCCCGGGUCUUGUACACACCGCCCGU
rnacentral:rRNA from 1 species